AUUGAACGCUGGCGGCAUGCCUUACACAUGCAAGUCGAACGGCAACACGGGUGCUUGCACCUGGUGGCGAGUGGCGAACGGGUGAGUAAUAUAUCGGAACAUACCCUAGAGUGGGGAUAACGUAGCGAAAGUUACGCUAAUACCGCAUACGAACUAAAGGUUGAAAGUGGGGGAUCGCAAGACCUCAUGCUCAUGGAGUGGCCGAUAUCUGAUUAGCUAGUUGGUGAGGUAAAGGCUCACCAAGGCGACGAUCAGUAGCUGGUUUGAGAGAACGACCAGCCACACUGGAACUGAGACACGGUCCAGACUCCUACGGGAGGCAGCAGUGGGGAAUUUUGGACAAUGGGGGCAACCCUGAUCCAGCAAUGCCGCGUGCAGGAAGAAGGCC
rnacentral:rRNA from 1 species